rnacentral:rRNA from 1 species
GUUGCAGGGUAUAGACCCGAAACCCGGUGAUCUAGCCAUGGGCAGGUUGAAGGUUGGGUAACACUAACUGGAGGACCGAACCGACUAAUGUUGAAAAAUUAGCGGAUGACCUGUGGCUGGGGGUGAAAGGCCAAUCAAACCGGGAGAUAGCUGGUUCUCCCCGAAAGCUAUUUAGGUAGCGCCUCGUGAAUUCAUCUCCGGGGGUAGAGCACUGUUUCGGCUAGGGGGCCAUCCCGGCUUACCAACCCGAUGCAAACUGCGAAUACCGGAGAAUGUUAUCACGGGAGACACACGGCGGGUGCUAACGUCCGUCGUGAAGAGGGAAACAACCCAGACCGCCAGCUAAGGUCCCAAAGUCAUGGUUAAGUGGGAAACGAUGUGGGAAGGCCCAGACAGCCAGGAUGUUGGCUUAGAAGCAGCCAUCAUUUAAAGAAAGCGUAAUAGCUCACUGGUCGAGUCGGCCUGCGCGGAAGAUGUAACGGGGCUAAACCAUGCACCGAAGCUGCGGCAGCGAACGUAUCACCCAAGACAACUUUACGGAGUUGACGAUUGACGGAGCGAAGCGACGUCAAAGCGUUCAUUAAAGUCGAGUUGGCUUAGGGAUACGUUCGUUGGGUAGGGGAGCGUUCUGUAAGCCGUUGAAGGUGGCCUGUGAGGGUUGCUGGAGGUAUCAGAAGUGCGAAUGCUGACAUAAGUAACGAUAAAGCGGGUGAAAAGCCCGCUCGCCGGAAGACCAAGGGUUCCUGUCCAACGUUAAUCGGGGCAGGGUGAGUCGACCCCUAAGGCGAGGCCGAAAGGCGUAGUCGAUGGGAAACGGGUUAAUAUUCCCGUACUUGGUGUUACUGCGAAGGGGGGACGGAGAAGGCUAUGUUGGCCGGGCGACGGUUGUCCCGGUUUAAGCGUGUAGGUGUGUGUUCCAGGUAAAUCCGGUUCACUUUAACACUGAGGCGUGACGACGAGGCACUACGGUGCUGAAGCAACAAAUGCCCUGCUUCCAGGAAAAGCCUCUAAGCAUCAGGUAACAUCAAAUCGUACCCCAAACCGACACAGGUGGUCAGGUAGAGAAUACCAAGGCGCUUGAGAGAACUCGGGUGAAGGAACUAGGCAAAAUGGUGCCGUAACUUCGGGAGAAGGCACGCUGACACGUAGGUGAAGUGAUUUACUCAUGGAGCUGAAGUCAGUCGAAGAUACCAGCUGGCUGCAACUGUUUAUUAAAAACACAGCACUGUGCAAACACGAAAGUGGACGUAUACGGUGUGACGCCUGCCCGGUGCCGGAAGGUUAAUUGAUGGGGUCAGCGCAAGCGAAGCUCCUGAUCGAAGCCCCGGUAAACGGCGGCCGUAACUAUAACGGUCCUAAGGUAGCGAAAUUCCUUGUCGGGUAAGUUCCGACCUGCACGAAUGGCGUAAUGAUGGCCAGGCUGUCUCCACCCGAGACUCAGUGAAAUUGAACUCGCUGUGAAGAUGCAGUGUACCCGCGGCAAGACGGAAAGACCCCGUGAACCUUUACUAUAGCUUGACACUGAACAUUGAGCCUUGAUGUGUAGGAUAGGUGGGAGGCUUUGAAGCGUGGACGCCAGUCUGCGUGGAGCCGACCUUGAAAUACCACCCUUUAAUGUUUGAUGUUCUAACGUGGACCCGUGAUCCGGGUUGCGGACAGUGUCUGGUGGGUAGUUUGACUGGGGCGGUCUCCUCCUAAAGAGUAACGGAGGAGCACGAAGGUUGGCUAAUCCUGGUCGGACAUCAGGAGGUUAGUGCAAUGGCAUAAGCCAGCUUGACUGCGAGCGUGACGGCGCGAGCAGGUGCGAAAGCAGGUCAUAGUGAUCCGGUGGUUCUGAAUGGAAGGGCCAUCGCUCAACGGAUAAAAGGUACUCCGGGGAUAACAGGCUGAUACCGCCCAAGAGUUCAUAUCGACGGCGGUGUUUGGCACCUCGAUGUCGGCUCAUCACAUCCUGGGGCUGAAGUAGGUCCCAAGGGUAUGGCUGUUCGCCAUUUAAAGUGGUACGCGAGCUGGGUUUAGAACGUCGUGAGACAGUUCGGUCCCUAUCUGCCGUGGGCGCUGGAGAACUGAGGGGGGCUGCUCCUAGUACGAGAGGACCGGAGUGGACGCAUCACUGGUGUUCGGGUUGUCAUGCCAAUGGCACUGCCCGGUAGCUACAUGCGGAAGA